rnacentral:tRNA from 1 species
GCGCCCAUAGCUCAACUGGAUAGAGCGUCAGACUACGGAUCUGAAGGUUUUAGGUUCAACUCCUAAUGGGCGCACCA